CCGAAUUUUGGAAUAUUUUGUAAAUAAGAAUUGUAGCCCUUGAAAUUAGCUUUCCAAUGCCGCCAAAAUCACCUAAUUCGGAGUUUGUAUGAGAGAGAUAUGCUCGAAAUCGUGGACACUGUCAAAGCUGUGGCGAGAUUCCUUCUUCCAAUUUGAUUUGUUUCCUUAUUUGCAACUUUUUCCUUUCUUUUUGAUCUUUUUUUCCUUCAUUGAC
rnacentral:lncRNA from 1 species